rnacentral:misc_RNA from 1 species
UCUCCGUAGGUGAACCUGCGGAGGGAUCAUUACUGAGUGAGGGCCUCCCCUGCCCGACCUCCAACCCUUUGUGAACACAACUUGUUGCUUCGGGGGCGACCCUGCCGCUUCGACGGCGAGCGCCCCCGGAGACCUUCAAACACUGCAUCUUUGCGUCGGAGUGUAAGUAAAUUUAAACAAAACUUUCAACAACGGAUCUCUUGGUUCUGGCAUCGAUGAAGAACGCAGC